rnacentral:rRNA from 1 species
UACGUAGGGUGCGAGCGUUAAUCGGAAUUACUGGGCGUAAAGCGUGCGCAGGCGGUUUCUUAAGCCAGAUGUGAAAGGCCCGGGCUUACCCUGGGAAUUGCGUUUGGAACUGGGAGACUAGAGUGUGGCAGAGGGAGGUAGAAUUCCUCGUGUAGCAGUGAAAUGCGUAGAGAUGUGGAGGAAUACCGAUGGCGAAGGCAGCCUCCUGGGCCAACACUGACGCUCAUGCACGAAUGCGUGGGGAGCAAACAGG